GUACCUAUAAGCGUUACCAAGUAACCAAGAGAAAACUCACGACAAAAAUAUUAAUCAACCACAAGAAGAGUAUACCAUAAAGCCUAAUGCUGAACAAACAAUUUUCAUAAACUUUCUCUGUACACAUCUAGGACAAGGAAUAGCGCACGCUUGCCAAUUAUCACCAAAAUCAGUGAGCAAAUUAAAUUUGUUUUCAUCGAACAGCUUACAAGAAUCCGGCGGAGGUGCAUCCACUCUGUCCAAAAUCAAUUUAGCGUCCUGUCCGCAUCCUGGCCUCGUGACAGUGAAAGAUGACCACGACAGUGACGACUUCGAUGAUAUCAAACACGCUGCAUCUUCAAUUGUCGACGGUGGUGUGGAACUGGAACCGAACGACAGGCCGAUACUGCUGGAUGUGCUUAGAAAGCGAACAUUUUCAGUCGAAGUACAUUCUCUUCAACGAACGCUACUAAGCUACAAAGAAAACAAAGACUGCUGCCAAAUUUACGCCAACGACGACUGCUACUCGUUAUUAAGUAGCAAUCGUGAUCUGAUCAAGGAUGCCGUUUCGCUUGGCCAUUGCCUCUGGAUAAAAUGAUUGAGCAUAUUUACUUAGCAUCGACAACAUUGGGAAGGUUCUUAUUAC